rnacentral:rRNA from 1 species
AUGAGCGCCCGGGCGGUGACCAAGUCGGCGCCGGUGCUCGUCGCCGGCCCGCCUGGCGGCGACGACGCCGUGGUCCACCUCACCUCCUCCUUCGACCGGAUCGUCCCUCCUAUUGGGGUCACCGCGCUGCUCCUCUUCGACCGGCCGAUCCCCGAGCCGGCGGACACCAUCAGGACGGCGCUCUCGAGGGCGCUUGCCCACUACCGCCCCGUCGCCGGCCGCCUCGCCGCCGACGCCGACGCCGAUGGCAAGCUCCUGCGCAUCGAGGGCGCGGCCGGCGUGCCGUUCGUCGCCGCGUCGGCGUCCUACGCGCUGGCGGACGUCACGGUGCCGCUGCUCGGCGGCCUCGCGGCGCGGUACCCCGGAAGGCUCUGCCGCCACGCCGACCCCCUGCUCCUGGUGCAGGUCACCGUGUUCGCCUGCGGCGGGUUCGCCGUCGCCGCGACGUGGAACCACGUGCUGACGGACGGCGAGGGCAUGGCGCAGUUCCUGGGCGCCGUCGGGGAGCUCGCGCGCGGGGCGUCCCCGGCGCCGUCCGUCACGCCGCUCCGCGCCGACGACGGCUCGCUCCUGGGCCUCCCGCCGACGAUAGUCGCCGCGCAGAAGCAGGGGGGCAGCUCCAUGCUCAGAAUGAACCUCGCGCUCCUGGACGUCACCGUCCCCGCCGGCCUGAUCGGCCGCGUCAGGGCCGAGUUCGACGCCGCCGGCCUCGGCGGCCCGUGCACGGCGUUCGAGGCCGUCGCGGCGGUGCUGUGGCGGUGCCGGACCCGCGCGGCCGUCGUCUCAGUCUCCGACGAGGCCCCCGUGACCCUCUUGUUCGCGGCCAACAUGCGCCGGCUCGCCGGCGCCAGGCCCGGGUACUACGGCAACUGCGCGGUGCUGCAGCCGCUGACCUCGACGCGCGGCGCGGUGGCGAACGGCGCGGCCGCGGACGUGCUGAGGAUGAUCCGGCGCGCGAAGGAGAGGAUCCCCGACCUGCUCGCCCCCGGCGGCACGACGACGGAGCAGGGGGCGGUGGCGCUGACGUACAGCACGCUGGUGGUGUCGAGCUGGAGGAACCUGGGGUUCGAGGCGGCGGACUUCGGCGGCGGGAGGCCGGCGCGGGUGACAUGGCACUGGCACGGGGAGGGGACGACGGUGCCGAGCUGCGUCGUGUGCCCGCCGGGCACGGACGGCGACAACGGCGGGGUCAGCGUGACAUCGCUCUUCGUCAGGCCGGAGCACGCCAAGGCAUUCCUAGCUGAGCUCGCCGCCAUGUCGCCGUGGAAGUUGUAA